rnacentral:rRNA from 1 species
CCUACGGGGGGCAGCAGUGAGGAAUAUUGGUCAAUGGUCGGGAGACUGAACCAGCCAAGCCGCGUGAGGGAGGAAGGUACAGAGUAUCGUAAACCUCUUUUGUCAGGGAACAAAGGCGGGGACGUGUCCCCGGAUGAGUGUACCUGAAGAAAAAGCAUCGGCUAACACCGUGCCAGCAGCCGGGGUAAUACGGGGUAUGCGAGUUUUAUCCGGUUUUAUUGGGGUAAAAGGGUGCGCAGGCGGGCUGUUAAGUCAGCGGUCAAAGCCCGGGGCUCAACCCCGGCCCGCCGUUGAAACUGGCAGUCUCGAGUUGGAGAGAAGUAUGCGGAAUGCGCGGUGGAGCGGUGAAAUGCAUAGAUAUCGCGCAGAACUCCGAUUGCGAAGGCAGCAUGCCGGCUCCACACUGACGCUGAGGCACGAAAGCGUGGGUAUCGAACAGGAUUAGAUACCCUAGUAGUC